rnacentral:lncRNA from 1 species
AUUUGAUUCCACUAUAUUAUAUUCCAGAUAACAAAUAGAAGCUUCUUCAAUAACCUUAACUUGAUUAUCACGAAAUCCAUCCAAAGCUUCUAGAAAAAUCAGCCAAACACACAGCAGAUCCGCAGAACAAAUGUGACAGCACGAUGUUACAACAUCUGCUUCGACAUUAGGUUGUUUUUGAAAAAAUGCAGACAACCAAAAGUAACAACAA